rnacentral:rRNA from 1 species
AGCAGCCGCGGUAAUUCCAGCUCCAAUAGCGUAUAUUAAAGUUGUUGCAGUUAAAAAGCUCGUAGUUGAAUUUCGGGAUUGGCGCAUCGGUCGUGCCUCACGGGGUAUGAACUGGUGCAGUCAAUUUCUCACCUUCUGGAGAACCGCGAUGUCCUUAAUUGGAUGCCGCGGGGAACCAGGACCUUUACUUUGAAAAAAUUAGAGUGUUUAAAGCAGGCAUUUUUGCUUGAAUACAUUAGCAUGGAAUAAUAAAAUAGGACGGCAUGGUUCUAUUUUGUCGGUUUCUAGGACCACCGUAAUGAUUAAUAGGGAUAGUUGGGGGCAUUAGUAUUCAAUUGUCAGAGGUGAAAUUCUUGGAUUUAUUGAAGACUAACUACUGCGAAAGCAUUUGCCAAGGAUGUUUUCAUUAAUCAAGAACGAAAGUUAGGGGAUCGAAGACGAUCAGAUACCGUCGUAGUCUUAACCAUAAACUAUGCCGACUAGGAAUCAGA